rnacentral:rRNA from 1 species
UACGUAGGGGCCGAGCGUUGUCCGGAUUCAUUGGGCGUAAAGAGCGUGUAGGCGGCCGCUUAAGUCCUGCGUGAAAUCUCGGAGCUCAACUCCGGACGGUCGUGGGAAACUGGGCGGCUAGAGUGCGGGAGAGGAGAGUGGAAUUCCUGGUGUAGCGGUGGAAUGCGCAGAUAUCAGGAAGAACACCCGUGGCGAAGGCGGCUCUCUGGAACGCAACUGACGCUGAGACGCGAAAGCGUGGGGAGCAAACAGG